rnacentral:rRNA from 1 species
AGACCCGAAACCCGGUGAUCUAGCCAUGGGCAGGUUGAAGGUUGGGUAACACUAACUGGAGGACCGAACCGACUAAUGUUGAAAAAUUAGCGGAUGACCUGUGGCUGGGGGUGAAAGGCCAAUCAAACCGGGAGAUAGCUGGUUCUCCCCGAAAGCUAUUUAGGUAGCGCCUCGUGAAUUCAUCUCCGGGGGUAGAGCACUGUUUCGGCUAGGGGGCCAUCCCGGCUUACCAACCCGAUGCAAACUGCGAAUACCGGAGAAUGUUAUCACGGGAGACACACGGCGGGUGCUAACGUCCGUCGUGAAGAGGGAAACAACCCAGACCGCCAGCUAAGGUCCCAAAGUCAUGGUUAAGUGGGAAACGAUGUGGGAAGGCCCAGACAGCCAGGAUGUUGGCUUAGAAGCAGCCAUCAUUUAAAGAAAGCGUAAUAGCUCACUGGUCGAGUCGGCCUGCGCGGAAGAUGUAACGGGGCUAAACCAUGCACCGAAGCUGCGGCAGCGAACGUAUCACUUAAAGCGAUUCAGCGGGUUACGAUUGACGGAGCGAAGCGACGUCAAAGCGUAUACAAAGUCGAGUCGGUUUAAGGAUACGUUCGUUGGGUAGGGGAGCGUUCUGUAAGCCUGUGAAGGUGGCCUGUGAGGGUUGCUGGAGGUAUCAGAAGUGCGAAUGCUGACAUAAGUAACGAUAAAGCGGGUGAAAAGCCCGCUCGCCGGAAGACCAAGGGUUCCUGUCCAACGUUAAUCGGGGCAGGGUGAGUCGACCCCUAAGGCGAGGCCGAAAGGCGUAGUCGAUGGGAAACGGGUUAAUAUUCCCGUACUUGGUGUUACUGCGAAGGGGGGACGGAGAAGGCUAUGUUGGCCGGGCGACGGUUGUCCCGGUUUAAGCGUGUAGGUGUGUGUUCCAGGUAAAUCCGGUUCACUUUAACACUGAGGCGUGACGACGAGGCACUACGGUGCUGAAGCAACAAAUGCCCUGCUUCCAGGAAAAGCCUCUAAGCAUCAGGUAACACGAAAUCGUACCCCAAACCGACACAGGUGGUCAGGUAGAGAAUACCAAGGCGCUUGAGAGAA